UCAGAUGGAACCCAAGAAACAAUAUUGAGUCUUCAGAAUUAAGGUACCAAGUGAAAGCACAACACUUGCAUCUGGACGGUACGGAUACAUGAGAUAAAACAUAGCUAAAGCAGUAUCCCUCAAGAGUCCAUUCCUGGUGGAACUACGUGCAAGACCUACUGCUUGAUCUCAGCCUUCUUCUGCCACAGCCUGUCCAACAAGCUGUCAGCAUCACCCUAGGCACAACAAAAAAUACGCAAUCAGAACCAUAACCAAGCAGAAGAAUCCAUGACACAACAGAAGCAGCAUGUAAAAAUUCACUUGACUGACAGUAAUAAAGACAUAAACCAUAGCAAGAAAAUGUGUUAGUUAACAGUGGAUGGUGGUAAACCUAGCAACACAUAAAGAUCAUAACUUUGGACUUCCUGAAAGUCAAUUUAGCCACACAUAAUAAAUUCUUUCCAAAUCAAUUCAGUCAUUCACUGUGUCAGGUGCCAACAAUGUGAACUCAAUAAACACGGAAUUGUAGUAGAAAGUUGCAUGUAGGCAUCACAUCCUGGACUAUCAC
rnacentral:lncRNA from 1 species